rnacentral:rRNA from 1 species
GAAUAUUGGACAAUGGGCGGAAGCCUGAUCCAGACAUGCCGCGUGUGUGAAGAAGGCCUUUUGGUUGUAAAGCACUUUCAGCGAGGAGGAGGAGCUCUUGGUUAAUACGCACUAUGCUAGGACGUUACUCGCGGAAUAAGCACCGGCUAACUCUGUCCCAGACGCCGCGGUAAUACAGAGGGUGCAAGCGUUAAUCGGAUUUACUGGGCGUAAAGCGCGCGUAGGUGGCCAAUUAAGUCAAAUGUGAAAUCCCCGAGCUUAACUUGGGAAUUGCAUUCGAUACUGGUUGGCUAGAGUAUGGGAGAGGAUGGUAGAAUUCCAGGUGGAGCGGUGAAAAGCGUAGAGAUCUGGAGGAAUACCGAUGGCGAAGGCAGCCAUCUGGCCUAAUACUGACACUGGGGUUCGAAAGCAUGGGGAGCAAACA